AUUGAACGCUGGCGGCAUGCUUUACACAUGCAAGUCGAACGGUAACAGGCCGCAAGGUGCUGACGAGUGGCGAACGGGUGAGUAAUGCAUCGGAACGUGCCCAGUCGUGGGGGAUAACUACUCGAAAGAGUAGCUAAUACCGCAUACGAUCUAUGGAUGAAAGCGGGGGACCGUAAGGCCUCGCGCGAUUGGAGCGGCCGAUGUCAGAUUAGGUAGUUGGUGGGGUAAAGGCUCACCAAGCCAACGAUCUGUAGCUGGUCUGAGAGGACGACCAGCCACACUGGGACUGAGACACGGCCCCGACUCCUACGGGAGGCAGCAGUGGGGAAUUUUGGACAAUGGGCGCAAGCCUGAUCCAGCAAUGCCGCGUGCAGGAAGAAGGCCUUCGGGUUGUAAACUGCUUUUGUACGGAACGAAACGGCUCUGGUUAAUACCCGGGGCUAAUGACGGUACCGGAAGAAUAAGCACCGGCUAACUACGUG
rnacentral:rRNA from 1 species